GUCAUUUUAGUUCUGGUUUCCUCGGGCUUUGCAGAGCCCUGGGAAUCCCAGCCAGCUGAGCAGCAGCUCCCCGGCAAGGACUGCUCCCCUCGGGGCGGGGGCACUGAGGCGCACACAGCCCACUCACCAGCUCUUCAGGAAUCAAACACCGGGCCCGACCCGGCCCCGCGCUUCCUACCGGCCCCGCCGCGCCCGCCCUCCGCCUCCCCAUUGGCCAACGCCGCGCCGCGCCGCAUGCUGAUUAGGCGAGGCGGUUGCCGCUCACUGGGAAAACUGUCCCCGCCUCCUGUGGGCAUGGAUUGGCUGGCGCAGACGUCACUGGGCUGGUAGCUCCGCCCCCCUCGGUAUUUGAAUCCAGGUCCCGCCCUUCGUGGCCUAGUCGGGCCUGGGGCCGGGAGGGCGGCGGGCGUCUGCGGGGCGGGGUGGUGCUUCUGCCCCUGCGCCGCCCUGACGAUUCCUGUGGCUGUUUUUUCUUUUUGUUAGCAGUUGCUCUUGAGACAAAACCAUCCCCUGUGACGGCCCUCCUCAGUCCACACUCGCUGGUGGCACACCAGAAUUCCUAUGCGUUUCAGCUUUCACCUUGCCAGGCUAAGCCCCAGCUCCUCUUGCGUUUGCAAUUCUCCAACGGCCUGUUCUUGCAGCCCUUCUGUCUCUUGUGUGCUCUGUCUCUUGAUCGUACAAGGCGAGCUGCCUUCUGUCUUCUGAUGGUGUCUCACUAAAUCCUAGGACCAUAACACGUUCCAGGAUUGAACACAGGGCAAAGGAAGUCAAAUUCUGGACAGUCCUUCUUGCUGUACUUCAGGAAAGCUGCAGUAACUAACCAGCCUAUGUAACAGGAUUGUAAUCUCUCUCAGUGUGUGUUUGAGAAGGGUUCCACACCUCACCAAAGGAGUUGUCUGACUGCAUAUAUCAGCAAGGUAUAGAGAGAAAGUAUUUUGAAAAAUAUCCUGAAGUAUACCAAUGUCUCUGCCUCAUCCUAGGAAGACGAUGUGAACAGGCUGUAUAUUUGGACUUUGGAGCUUUGCACUAUAUUAGAAGGGAAGAAGGCAUACAGAAGAAAAGAUGUGAUUUUUCCAAAUAAAGUUAUCUAGGAAAAGUCCUCUCUCCCUUCAUAGCAUGCAAGUUAUGACGUGAGGAAGGUGAGUGCACUUUGGCACAGGACUUCAGGAAGCCAGGAAAGGAUUACACAGAGCAGCGCCUGAGGAAAGGGAGUAACAGGGGAGCAGCCCUGCCCGCAACAGUUAAUCCCCUGUAAAACUUGCCUUUAAUAGAAAAGUGAAGCAACUCCAAGUCAAAUCCAGCUUUACCUUAAAAAAAAAGGACUGAUAACAAAUGUUGCUAACUGUGUAAUCUUCUAAAAGGAAAUCAGCUUCUCUGAGCAAGUGCAACCACAGAGCAGCUUCCUUUGUAUCGGCUGCAGCUUUCAUCUGACCAGGAUCUCUCUGAACAAGAAGGUCGCUGAGGCAUUGUACUGCUUUGCAAUAAAGGAAUCGCCUAAGGCAGGCUUUUGUCUGCCCCCCUCUUCCCCCUCCAAAAAAAAUGCUUUCUGAAAACUGCAUUAACAUGAGCAACUCUGUAUCACAGACUUUACUGAAAGGUCCCUAGAUAGGAAUAACGCUCAGUGAGAAAUGUUUCCAAUUAGUUGAUUAUGAAUAUUUGAUUUCUGAUUACCAGUCUACUGACUAAAGAGUAAAUUUCUCCAUUAAUUAUAUUAGAAAUUAGCAUGAAGGAAUGUUGGCAAACAUUUGCAGCAUCCCUUUCUCCCACAUUCUUCUCCUCUAUGGUAAAGUUGGACCUCUCUGUGAAAUUGAAUUUCUGAUUUCAAAAAAAAUGAUCUUCUGUAUUUACAAAGGAAAAAGCCCAUCAUCUUUAUUAUAGUCUCAGAAUCUGCUAGAUUGUUCUUAAAAAUCCAAAUUAAAAAAAUGAAAAAUAAGGCAGCUUUUCCAUUUUCUCAAAAGCUAAACCAAGAUAUAUUUGUAACAUGGGCUUCACAGAGAAUUUUGCAGGAACUGUUGGAAGAGUGAGGAAUUCGAGGCACUGCACUUGGUGACUGCAGUUCAUGUUGGAAAGGUGUGGCACAUAGGUGUAGAGGGUACAGCACAAAUUUCAGUACUGACAAGCAGAUGCAGGUCAAGUUACACUACAACUAAGCCAGGCCCAGGAACUGUUUCCUUUGCUUCACCUUGCCUUUUCUGAACCUAAAACAAGUAUGUUCUCUUUGCUCAUCAAAGAAUGGAGCUGCAUCUCUGUGAGUAAUGAGUAGGAGAAAGAGAGUCAGUUCCUACGAAACAAACAGUUCCUGUGAAAGAAAGAAAAGGGAUCAGAUAGUCAUUAUAGCUGCAACCUUUCACAGAAACUAUAGCUUCUUGGAAGACAUGUUGUAAUGCUUACUUGAAGUAAUUAAAGAUCAAAUAUUAAAUCCAAUUGAACAAUAA